CUGAGCUACCAUGACUGCUAAGUAGGUACAUUUCAGUAUAUAUAUAGGACAUAUAGGGUCCCACACCCUUCUUCUCAAGUUCAGAUAAGUACGUUAACACAGCCAGGAACUGGAAACCAACAGAGAUGGGAUUUGAAGCCUGCUAUUCUGAGGCUGGAUUCUGGAAGUUUCCUCCAUCAGUGAACUACUGUCAAAGGGAAGGGCCCCACACACAAGGUAGCUGGAAGCAAGGAUUCCUCUGUGGAGCUGAAGGUGCAUGGGAAAACCCCCACCCAGGACAGCCAUCCAGUUUCCCUCAUGACUGAGUACUUGGUAGCCAGAGAAUGAUGGGCCCACUGCUUAGUUCUUAAAACUGCAGCAGACAGCAACACACCCCCACCUUGUCAACAACGUUUCAAUGAAAGUCACAGC
rnacentral:lncRNA from 1 species